GAGCACCCACUGCAGAGUCCUUCCCAAGGGGAGGAGACCACCCCCUGGGACUUAACAACAGGUAAGCCUAAGCCCUUCCCUCUCUUACCAGGGCAGUGUUAAGACCUCGGGGUGAACAUAAGCCAUGCCUGUUGUCCAGCCUGAACUGAAUGCCUGGCCUUCAGCUGCUUCCAGGAGCACCAGGUCAUGGCAUGCUCCCUGCAGCAAGGAGGUGUCAGCACGGGAGCUGCUCAUGUCCCUGAGGGGAUAGGAGGGUAGACAGCCCCUGUGUCAUUCCAGCGGUACCCCUUGCCCCUCCUGUGCCCCCAGGGCCUGAGUGCUGCUCACAGGGGACAAAAAGGAGGAUAAUCCUAAAGCCCAAGGUUACAGAUACCCAUUUGAUGGACAGCAUUGGGACCAGCAGCCAAGUGAAUGUCAUAGAUGGUGUUGAGGCUGCUGCUUAAAUCCUAGUGGUCUUAUCAGCUGGGGACUGGUCCUCCCGCUACCUCUUCCUGUGCAGUUGGUAUUUGCCAAUAUUAUCAUCCCCCUUUUCCUGUCCUCACAGCAGCUCUCCAGCUCCCAGAGCUGGUCCCCAAAGCAGAAUUGCAAACUCCCCAAGCUGUGCUCAUCUCUGGCGUCCUGGCAGCCCCAGGAGCUGGGACAGGCAGGAGACCAGGUCUGUCCUCGCUGCUCACUGGCUCUCUGCCAAACCCCGGCUGUGCUCAUCCCCAUCCCUGCCCACCUCCCAUGACAGAAAGCUCAUCAACCGCUGCAUGCCUCCACACAAGGCUUCAGCCAGUUGGUACUGAAUAAUUUAUGCUAAGUGGAGCCUGGAGCAGAGAAACUGAGAGGGAGUGAGCAAGGCUUUAUGCUACUUUAGGCUCUGCUCCCAGGAUAUAGGGGGAGAGAGAUGGGUGUGCUGUGUCUGGCAGCUUUGUGCCCCAGCCAGUUUGGCUGGGCCUGGGAGUGUUCCUCUUGGGCUUGUUGUGCUGCUCACCUGCUGCUGUCAUGCUCCUUGUGUGCUACAGGGGGGCCAUGGCAGCAGUGGAUGGGACUUGGGGAGCAGAGCAAGGGCACUCUCAGUCCCAGCAGCUCUUGCUAGGGCUGGUACUAUGGCUCUCCUAGGCUACUGACCCUGUACUCAACCCACAGCAGGAGCAAAGUUGUUGAAUAUGGGGCCAAGCCUAUGCCUUUUCCCCUUCCCACCAGCUGCUGGUGGCCAGGAUCAUCGUGGCUGUCACACCAUCCUCUAAGCAAUGUCACCCCCUUCCUACAGCACAUCCCAUAAGUAUAAAGCAGUGUAUGGAGGAAAUAACAGCCUGGCAGUUUAAAGAGGCAGGUCUGACCACUUCCCAAACCAUCUCCCAAAUCCUACUGUCUAAGGAGCUGAGGAGGCCCACAGGGCGUACACCAGCAUCCUCUUCACCUAGAAGGAUGUGAACACCAGGAGACAACCAAACCACAGCUGAAACAUCUCACCAGGAGAUGGAGCAGGUGUACCCAUCCCACGAGCAUCCUUACUCACUGGCAGCAGUUACAAAAGAGCCCAAGAUGGGGAUGGAGAAGGCUUAGAAGGCACACAUGAAGAUGUGAGUCCAAGGGAUUGGAGUCACUAAAGCCUGGCUAUUCUUCCACACAGUAAAACAGGCUCCUCCUAAGACACAGAGAAAAGUAAACUAACUUCCAAUUUUAUCCAAAACUGGUAUGAGGUCCCUUAGAGGUACCUGUGGCUACACAGGAUGCAAUAUCACAAGCCCCUCUUCCAGCCAUUCCAUUGAGAGCCUGGACGAUUCUGGUGCCCUGCAGGCCACUCAGCUUGGCCUCACAUCAGAGCCCUGUUCCUGGAACAUCUAAGCCUACAGACUUAGAUAACCUCAGGCUUAGGGAAGCUGCUUCUUGAGUGGCUUUGCUUACCUUUAUGGUGAAGGCAAGAAGUGAUACAGAAGUACUGCUUAGGCUGGAAAGGUUUGCAGCACUGGCUGUAGUCCAGAAGGGAAACCUGGUCUGCUCCUCUACCCAGUCACACUGCAGGUGAGGAGGAUGAGGCCAGCAUUUAGGCAAAGCUGCUCUGCAAUACUUAACCUUUCAUUCAGCUGCCCCCACCACCACCCUCACAUCUCAGGUCUCACUGCAGCACCGAGUCAUUGCUGCCAGCUCCUGCACAACCCAGGUCUUUGCCAAAGCCCUCGGCAAGCACAAUGCACUCACCUACUUUGGAGGUACCCUCUCUGCUGGCUUAGGAGAAUGCUCCUGUGGAAGCCCUCACAGACCAAAAGGCAUGAGAUCUGUUCCAACACUUGAUCAGCAUCUUUAAGGACUUAUAAGUAAUUCUGGCAGUUGACUCAGCUGUAAUGUCUCUGGAGCCCUGACCCCUCUGUAACAGGUGUGGGGCACUUGAAUGAUGUGAGAGAAGAACAUGUAUUAUAUGUCUGUCCUGAGACACCUGGACCUGACCAGGCUAUAACAGACCUUGUCAGCUAUUCUGUAAUUUAAGUAUGGGUUCAAAGGUGACACUCCUCCAUCAUGGGCUAUGCAGUCUCAACAUAAUCAGUAGGAUGCUGACGGAAGCCUUCUCACAGCUGGUUUUUAUGCUGGCUGGAGAUCCACAGCACAAGUUUAGUUCAGUUUUGCCAUGGCCAGCUGAAGAGAUCACAACAGCCAGAGAUGAGCUUAUGUACUCAAAUAUAGCAAAAAGCUCACUUCUGUGGACUCUUUUCCAGCUUCAGCUGUGCAACAGGAAUAAUCCUGAGCUCGUGCCUCUGAAGCAGAACUGGGGUACGCAACAAGCUCCUUGUCAUAAGGGAAACAACUGCAGUGUCUGAAAACUUCAUCUUCCAGUCCAGGGUACUUCUAGAACAAAUGUGCCUUGAAUAACUAUGGGGAAGAUUAACUCCAAACCCCUCAAUUUCUUCUUCAAACCUACAUCAGUGAAACUGUGAUCCUGGCAUUACUUUCAGACUUGUGAAGUUCAGCUAGCACAUCAGAACACAUCGUGAGCUCAUGUACCGACCUCCUGCCUGUCAGGGGUCAGGAAGAUGAUGUCCUGUCCCCAAAUCAUCAGUGAAGAAGCCACGUCAAGAGUAACAACUCCACCCGAGAGAAGUGAUACAAUCUAAUUUUUGCCAACAGCAAAGAUCAGACCAGAUCAUGGCUGAUAUAUCUUGAUCUGUUGUGAUUUUCCUCCUCCAACAAAGAUGCAGUAUGACAAUACACAAUUAAUACGUGGUUUUUGGAGAAGAUGUAUGGUAUCAAGCUUUUAGCGCCUCCUUUUGCUUCUAACCUACCUCCAACUUUUAGCAUUGACUUCAACAAUGACCUGACUCUGGAUUUCUUGUGACCUAAUUACAGCAAAAAACGAACAAACUCCUGUGAUGGUCCUGUCACUGACUAGGACUGUCUGACAAGCUUGAAAAUCUUACCCUGAGUGCAGAAACCUCUCUGAAAGGGAGAUGCUCUUACUUCAGCUUCCUGCUCCUCACCAAACUCUUCUAAGUAGUUUGUAUUCUGGCCAGUGAUGUUGUAGCAUAUCCUCACCGAGAUGUGCCAGUUUCUUGGAACUGCAGCUAUUGCCUGCCCUGUGAAGACACCUUGGCCCUGGCACUCCCUGGAGCUCCUCAGCUUCCUUGACCGCAGCUCCCAGUACUUGACUCCCAUUGACAUCUGUCUCCCAGCCAGAAAUGAGAGGAGAGGACAUGAGGGAGGUGUUGUGCCAAAAAGAGCUGACAGGAAAGGAAUCAGGCAUUGCAUCUGAGGCCAUAAAUCCCACAAGGACUAGGCUGAAAGCAAAGCAUUCAAGGGGUGCCAAGGACAGGUUUGGACUGGUUGCACUCUUCCACCCUCCCAAAACUUUGGGCCAGCAGAGUUCCAGGUGGGUUGAAGAGGACAUGAUAAAGACUUGCUGGAGACAGAGACAAGAUGUCUUGCCAUGAGAGCUUGUGUCUCCCACCCCAAUCACCUCCAUGAUCUACAGCAUGACCUUGGUCUGUGGAGAGAAAAUUUCGGCACCCUUUCCUCCCCACCAUCCCACCUGUGAUCCUUCUGGAGCACCAGCAGCAGCAGCCUCUGGAAGGAGGACACACCCAUCAAGGUGAUUUGUUGAGACAAUCAAAUAAUAAUUUACUGUGAUUCAAUCUGUGGCUUUGUACAGUUGCCGGGUUGGGAGGAGGUCAAAGGAUAAGGGGACGGGGAUUAAAAAAAAAAAAAAAAAAAAGUUGCUUGCCGCAGACUUGGGUGAAGUGCGAGAUAGUCCUUGGAGGGCCUCAUGCUCCCCCUAUCCUCUUCGUCCGGCUUCUCUCCCCCCCCCCAAUACUUCUCCUCUGAAUCCGUUUGCUUGCUUCUUCCUUUGCUUCACCUCUUUCCUUGCACACUGCACAGUGGGAACCUCGCCAAGACACGGUCCAGACAGCUGAAACAGAAGAGGACACUCAUGAGCACCCAUUCCCCAUCAGAACAAGCAGGGCUGUUCCUAGUACUCACUCCUCACAUUUUGGGAUGACCCUGUUAGUGCCCACAGAGCAAACCAAAAGGUUACACAGGUCUUAGAGGCCUGGGCCUGUCUCAGCAAAGCAUCUGUACAUCAGCUGAAGGAACAAGUCUUGGAGUCAGUGGAGUGAUGGGUGAGCUUUGGGCACCUCACCAGACCUUCUGCCUCUUUCUAAACCUUGUGGGAGGGGGCACUGUUUGGGAAGAUCUUUCCACCUCCUCCAGGGAUGAUGGGAACUACAAAAUUAGUCCGGGGCAAAUAAAGCCAAAUUUUGUUGACCACAACACCACCCUUCUUCUCCCCAAAUCCCAGCAUAUCUUUGCCUCACUUCUCCUUUUGUGCCUUGAUGUUCCUCCCUCUCUGCUCUUGGGCACUGCAGCCAGAUUAAGCGGGAGGUCAGGUUUCCAGUUUCUGUCUGAGCAGAAAAAGACAAAGGCAACUUGCAAGGUAUGUUCUCUUAAUAGAGAGAAGUGUUUCCAAGUGACCCUUUUCCAGCCCUUCUUGCCCAAGCUGGUGCUGCCACUGGGCUGUGACAAGGAUUGGGCUCCUGGCAGUCAGUGUAAGGGAGCAGCACUGGCUGCCAAGCCCAUGCCGUCAGCUGUGAGCCAGAGCAGGAAACAAGCCUUGAGCUCACAUCCCCAUCCGGAGGAAAUGCUCCUGAACAUCUGGAGGACACAAACAUCUGGAAAAUCUCCCUUAGCAGUGAUAAGUGUGCUGGGCACAGCAUUCAGUUCAGCCCCCAGCCGACCUCACACGCCUCAGCUGCGAGUGGAGGGGUGGGGUUCUGGGGUGGGUGUUUGCUCAUAGGAAACAAAUGUUGCCAGCACUGUUUUGUUGGGGAUUUUUUUUUCUUGGGACUGGGGGACAGGAAGAGCUCUGCUGUGCUCAUGGCCUCUAGCUCAAAAAACAUAAGAGGAAACCUGCUGUUCAUCUCCACCUUUAUGAGACCCUCUUAACACCAUCUCUGGAUACAGUGCACUUCUCUUUACGACUCCAGCAGUUAUUUAAAGGGGUGAAGGGCCAGUCCAGGUGCUUGGGAGAAUCCCCAGAAGACAUUCAUGCACGCUUUUGUCCCAGUCAACCUUAGAGAUAGAUCUCCUUGGUGGACCUAGUUACUCCUCUCUAAACUUCUGCCAUGAAGGAGUUUGUUACACAGCCAGAUGUUCCCAGGCCUUAUACUUAAAGCCAGACAGCACAUGCAGGGACAAUAAUAUGAACUCACCCUGACUGCUAUCCAGCAGUGUUUUAAAUAAACUCAUAAUUAAAAAAAAAAAAAAAUGAGGAAAGAAAAACAGGCAAGAACAUAAACAAUCUGAAAAAUACUGUUUCUGGCUCCCAGCACACACAAUUUAUAAAAGCAAACAGCCCCCUUAUGGCUAAUUCUCAACAUUGCAUCAGUUCCAAAUAUCCCAGGGGAUUUAUCUAAUGGUGAAAACUCUUCUGAGGAACACAGGACUUUUCACAGCAAGACAGGUCUGCUCUAAAACUUUAAGAUGAGGCAAUUUAUGUGAGUGCAUGAGGAGGCAAUGCACCCAGCCAGCUCUUCAUCUGAACCCUUGUAGAUCCAGUCGGGUGAGCAUGCAGUGAUCUGUACACCUUCAACACCAGCUUAACUCCUCUUUUAGAGCAGCAGCAUGAGAAGAAGCUUUCCUGGGGAAAGCACAACAAAAUAUUAUUUUUUUCAAAUAUUCUGUUGUAUAGAAUUCUGUUGCACAAAAUGAGGGGGAGAAAUAAACAACCCUUUCCUGCCACACACUUCCUCAGGGAAGUGGGAAUUUUGACUUACCUAUGUUUUCACAGAAAAACACUAUAUCGAUCAGAAAGGUGUUUCAUUAAACAAUACCUGCUGCUGAAAUUGA